rnacentral:tRNA from 2 species
GGGCCUGUAGUAUAGUGGUAAUACGCCGCAUUCGCAUUGCGGAGACGCGAGUUCGAUUCUCGCUAGGUCCACCA